CAGUGUAUUCAGCCAACUUCAGCAACAGAGUUUGACGACUCAGUGGAAGUAUCAGAAGUCAGGGAGCUUGAAGCUGUCUCUACCUCGGAUAGAAUUGCUCCAUCUCCCUUGGUUUCAGGACCCAGGACAUUGCGAAAACUGAGAAUUCUUUGCCUUCAUGGCUUCCGCCAGAAUGCUUCUGGUUUCAAAGGCAGAACUGCAUCGCUGGCCAAGAAACUCAAGAGCAUUGCAGAGCUUGCCUUUGUGGAUGCACCUCAUGAAUUGUCAUUCGUUUAUCAAAUUCGUAGAAACUGUGAUUCUGCAUCAGAAAUGGAAAAUAACCGUCCACCCUCAGAGAAUUGCAGUAAAAAGUUCUCAUGGUUAGUUGCACCUGAUCACAAG
rnacentral:misc_RNA from 1 species